rnacentral:rRNA from 1 species
UGGCUUAGAAGCAGCCACCAUUGAAAGAGUGCGUAAUAGCUCACUGGUCGAGUGACCCCGCGCCGAAAAUGUACCGGGGCUAAACAUAUUACCGAAACUGUGGAUGAACCUCUUUAGAGGUUCGUGGUAGGAGAGCGUUCUAAGGGCGGUGAAGUCAGACCGGAAGGACUGGUGGAGCGCUUAGAAGUGAGAAUGCCGGUAUGAGUAGCGAAAGAAGGGUGAGAAUCCCUUCCACCGAAUAUCUAAGGUUUCCUGAGGAAGGCUCGUCCGCUCAGGGUUAGUCGGGACCUAAGCCGAGGCCGAUAGGCGUAGGCGAUGGACAACAGGUAGAGAUUCCUGUACCAGUGCUAAUUGUUUAACCGAUGGGGUGACACAGAAGGAUAGGGAAUCGCACGAAUGGAAAUGUGCGUCCAAGCAGUGAGUGUGAGAAGUAGGCAAAUCCGCUUCUCGCGAAGCAUGAGCUGUGAUGGGGAAGGAAAUUAAGUACGGAAGUUCCUGAUUUCACGCUGUCAAGAAAAGCCUCUAGGAAGAGUAGUACUGCCCGUACCGCAAACCGACACAGGUAGAUGAGGAGAGAAUCCUAAGGUGAGCGAGAGAACUCUCGUUAAGGAACUCGGCAAAAUGACCCCGUAACUUCGGGAGAAGGGGUGCUCUAUUAGGGUGCAAGCCCGAGAGAGCCGCAGUGAAUAGGCCCAGGCGACUGUUUAGCAAAAACACAGG